rnacentral:rRNA from 1 species
AUGGAUUGGAAUCCCAAGGUGCUUUGUUGGAACAUGAGGGGGUUGAAUAACCCAGCCAAGAGAAACGCGGUGAGGGAGUUCGUUGUGGAGGCCAAAGUUAACAUAGUGUGCUUACAAGAGACGAAACUGAAUGUAAUUGAACUUUUUAUAGCUAUGCAAUGUUUGGGGCCAUUGUUUGAUGGCUUUGCCUAUGUACCGGCAUUGGACACGCGGGGUGGGAUUCUCUUGGGGUGGGAUACGACGGUGUUGGAGGUGGAUAGCAUAGCCUUGGAUACCCAUUCGCUUACGGAGUUGGUUCAUAACAAGGAUGGGUCGGCUUGGUGGGUGACAGUGGUCCAUGGACCGCAAGGGGAUGAGGCGAAGAUGUAG